rnacentral:rRNA from 1 species
CCUACGGGGUGCUGCAGUGGGGAAUAUUGCACAAUGGGGGAAACCCUGAUGCAGCGACGCCGCGUGAGUGAAGAAGUCUUUCGGUAUGUAAAGCUCUAUCAGCAGGGAAGAAAAUGACGGUACCUGACUAAGAAGCCCCGGCUAAAUACGUGCCAGCAGCCGCGGUAAUACGCAGGGGGCAAGCGUUAUCCGGAUUUACUGGGUGUAAAGGGAGGGUAGACGGGAAGACAAGUCAGAAGUGAAAGCCAAGGGCUCAACCCUGGGACUGCCUUUGAAACUGCCGGGCUUGAGUGGGGGAGAGGUAAGCGGAAUUCCUAGUGUAGCGGUGAAAUGCGUAGAUAUUAGGAGGAACACCAGUGGCGAAGGCGGCUUACUGGACUGUAACUGACGUUGAGGCUCGAAAGCGUGGGGAGCAAACAGGAUUAGAUACCCCUGUAGUC